ACUUAAUCCUUUGGGUUCUCUGCUGCUCUUUCAACUGCUUGCCACCCAAAUUAUCUCAUUCCCACUGCUGGAGCAACCGUAAAACCAUGAAAGAGAAAGGUGCUUUCGAAACUGCUAGGUUGGCAGAAGCUGGGACAAGUAACGGGAGCUCACCCUGUUACAUGGCAGCACUAGGGAUUCGAACCGCUGAGCUGCUGACCUUUCGAUCGACAAGCUCAACGUCCUAGCCCCUGAGCCACCGCUUUAUAACCCUUUGAAAGAAAGAAAGAAAGAAAGAAAGAGAGAGAGAGAGAGAAGAGAAGAGAAGAGAAGAGAAGAGAAGAGAAGAGAAGAGAAGAGAAGAAAAGAAAAGAAAAGAAUAGUACCCAGGUUCCUGUCUGAGCUUGCUUAAUGAAGCAUUAGAAGAUGGAAAAACCAAAGCAGCUUGGAAGCACAACUGAAAUGUAUUUUCUCCUUUUAAUUUUCACAGUUCAAAGACAGGAGCUAAAACACUAUAGGGAAAAGUUGGAAAGCUGAAGCUGACAAGAAUGGAUACCUUAACCGAAGGGGUGAGAAUUUAUCCAUGAGGUGAAACUCAAACAAAAUUUUCUUCCACACUUUUCCUGACCUGACUCGCCUGACCUGAACCCCAUAGAGAAUCUAUGGGGCAUUGCGAAGAGAAAGAUGAAAGACAUGAGACCGAACAAUGCAGAAGAGCUGAAAGCCACUAUUGAAGCAUCCUGGUCUUCCAUAACACCUCAGCAGUGCCACAGGCUGAUAGCAUCCAUGCCAUGCCUCAUUGAGGCAGUAAUUGAUGCAAAAGUGGCCCAAACCAAGUACUGAGUACAUAUGCAUGCUUAUACUUUUUAAAGGUUCGAUAUUGUUCUAUGUACAAUCCUUGUUUUAUUGCUUUCAUGUAAUAUUCUAAUUUUCUGAGAUUGUGAAUUUGGGGUUUUUAUGAGCUGUCAG